rnacentral:rRNA from 1 species
CCCUUAGAUGUUCUGGGCCGCACGCGAGCUACACUGAUGCAUUCAACGAGUUUCUUCCUGGUCCGAGAGGAAUGGGUAACCUUUUGAAAGUGCAUCGUGAUAGGGAUAGACUAUUGCAAUUAUUGGUCUUCAACGAGGAAUUCCUAGUAGACGUAGUUCAUCAGACUGCAUCGAUUACGUCCCUGCCCUUUGUACACACCGCCCGUCGCUCCUACCGAUUGAAUGCUCAGGUGAGCCAUUCGGACCUUCAUCAUGCCGGUUUCCGGUUUUGAUGAGGGAAAGUCUUGCGAACCUUAUCAUUUAGAGGAAGGAGAAGUCGUAACA